rnacentral:rRNA from 1 species
CCUACGGGGGGCAGCAGUGAGGAAUAUUGGUCAAUGGACGAGAGUCUGAACCAGCCAAGUAGCGUGAAGGAUGACUGCCCUAUGGGUUGUAAACUUCUUUUAUAAAGGAAUAAAACGAGGCACGUGUGCCUUUUUGCAUGUACUUUAUGAAUAAGGAUCGGCUAACUCCGUGCCAGCAGCCGCGGUAAUACGGAGGAUCCGAGCGUUAUCCGGAUUUAUUGGGUUUAAAGGGAGCGUAGAUGGGAUGUUAAGUCAGUUGUGAAAGUUUGCGGCUCAACCGUAAAAUUGCAAUUGAUACUGGCAGUCUUGAGUACAGUUGAGGUAGGCGGAAUGCGUGGUGUAGCGGUGAAAUGCUUAGAUAUCACGAAGAACCCCGAUUGCGAAGGCAGCUUACUAAACUUUGACUGACAUUGAUGCUCGAAAGUGUGGGUAUCGAACAGGAUUAGAUACCCCAGUAGUC